GAACUAGGAGACGUUGGUCAUGCCACUGGUAUGUACUGGUCUCACUGAUUCCUCCUUCCUGAUGAGCUGUAAUGCCAUUAAUUUGGUGUUGCGGGGAAUCUGGACUGUUACUUUGAAAAAAUUAGAGUGUUUAAAGCAGGCUAACGCCUGAAUACAUUAGCAUGGAAUAAUGAAAUAGGACGUUCGAUCCUAUUUUGUUGGUUUCUAGGAUUGACGUA
rnacentral:rRNA from 1 species